rnacentral:rRNA from 1 species
UACGAAGGGGGCAAGCGUUGCUCGGAAUUACUGGGCGUAAAGCGCACGUAGGCGGCUUCUUAAGUCGGUGGUGAAAUCCUGGAGCUCAACUCCAGAACUGCCUUCGAUACUGGGAAGCUCGAGUCCGGGAGAGGUGAGUGGAACUGCGAGUGUAGAGGUGAAAUUCGUAGAUAUUGGGAAGAACACCAGUGGCGAAGGCGGCGACCUGGUCCGAUACUGACGCUGAGGCGCGAAAGCGUGGGGAGCAAACAGG